GAGUUUGAUCCUGGCUCAGGAUGAACGCUGGCGGCGUGCUUAACACAUGCAAGUCGAACGAACCUUCGGGUUAGUGGCGGACGGGUGAGUAACGCGUGAGAAUCUGCCCUCAGGAGGGGGAUAACGGCUGGAAACGGCCGCUAAUACCCCAUAUGCCGAGAGGUGAAAUGAAUUUCGCCUGAGGAUGAGCUCGCGUCUGAUUAGCUUGUUGGUGGGGUAAUGGCCUACCAAGGCGACGAUCAGUAGCUGGUCUGAGAGGAUGAUCAGCCACACUGGGACUGAGACACGGCCCAGACUCCUACGGGAGGCAGCAGUGGGGAAUUUUCCGCAAUGGGCGAAAGCCUGACGGAGCAACGCCGCGUGAGGGAUGAAGGCCUCUGGGCUGUAAACCUCUUUUAUCAAGGAAGAAGAUCUGACGGUACUUGAUGAAUAAGCCACGGCUAAUUCCGUGCCAGCAGCCGCGGUAAUACGGGAGUGGCAAGCGUUAUCCGGAAUUAUUGGGCGUAAAGCGUCCGCAGGCGGCCCUUCAAGUCUGCUGUUAAAAAGUGGAGCUUAACUCCAUCAUGGCAGUGGAAACUGUUGGGCUUGAGUGUGGUAGGGGCAGAGGGAAUUCCCGGUGUAGCGGUGAAAUGCGUAGAUAUCGGGAAGAACACCAGUGGCGAAGGCGCUCUGCUGGGCCAUCACUGACGCUCAUGGACGAAAGCCAGGGGAGCGAAAGGGAUUAGAUACCCCUGUAGUCCCGGCCGUAAACGAUGAACACUAGGUGUCGGGGGAAUCGACCCCCUCGGUGUCGUAGCCAACGCGUUAAGUGUUCCGCCUGGGGAGUACGCACGCAAGUGUGAAACUCAAAGGAAUUGACGGGGGCCCGCACAAGCGGUGGAGUAUGUGGUUUAAUUCGAUGCAACGCGAAGAACCUUACCAGGGUUUGACAUCCUGCGAAUCUCUUGGAAACGAGAGAGUGCCUUCGGGAACGCAGUGACAGGUGGUGCAUGGCUGUCGUCAGCUCGUGUCGUGAGAUGUUGGGUUAAGUCCCGCAACGAGCGCAACCCACGUCUUUAGUUGCCAGCAUUAAGUUGGGCACUCUAGAGAGACCGCCGGUGAUAAGCCGGAGGAAGGUGUGGAUGACGUCAAGUCAUCAUGCCCCUUACAUCCUGGGCUACACACGUACUACAAUGCUACGGACAAAGGGCAGCAAGUUCGCGAGGACAAGCAAAUCCCAUAAACCGUGGCUCAGUUCAGAUCGUAGGCUGCAACUCGCCUACGUGAAGGAGGAAUCGCUAGUAAUCGCAGGUCAGCAUACUGCGGUGAAUACGUUCCCGGGCCUUGUACACACCGCCCGUCACACCAUGGAAGUUGGCCACGCCCGAAGCCGUUACUCCAACCCUCGGGAGGAGGACGUCGAAGGUGGGGCUGAUGACUGGGGUGAAGUCGUAACAAGGUAACCGUA
rnacentral:rRNA from 1 species